GUUUUUUUGCUUUGUUUUCUUCUCUCGGGAUAGUCUUUGUUUCCUCCAAGUUUCUUUUUUUUCUGUUUGUGUUUUGUCCUUCAUUAUAAAUGCUUUCCUCAAAUGUCUGGCGAUCCUUGGUUGUCACUUCAUGACUAUGAAGAAUUAAAAAGUGAUUGGAAUACCCAAAAGAAUUGAAAAGACGACUCAGAUGCUUGCAUACCAGUGUUCACUGCAGCAUUAUUCAUAAUAGCCAAAAAGUGGAAACAGCCUAAGUGUCCAUCGACAGAUUAAUGGAUAAACAAAAUGGGGUAUGUACAUACAAUGGAAUAUUCUUCAGCCAUGAAAGGAAUGAAAUUCUGAUACAUGCUACAACAUGGAUGAAACUUGAAAACAUUAUACUAAGGGAAAUAAGCCAGAAACAGAAGGACAAAUAUUGUAUGAUUUCACUUAUAUGAAAUAUUGAGAAUAGGCAAAUUCCAUAGAGACAGAAAGUAGAAUAGAGGUUACUAGGGGCUGAGGGGCAGUGGGGAGUGGGAAUUAUUGCUUAAUGAGUACAGUGUUUCUGUUUGGGGUGAUGAAAAUUGUGGAAAUAGAUAGUGGUGGUGAUUGUAUAACAUUGUGAAUGUACUUAAUGCCUGUAAACUUAAAGUUUACUGAACCGUAAACUUAAAACUGGUUAAAAUGGCAUAUUUUAUGUAAUAUAUAGUUUACCACGAUAAGAAAAUAAAAAAGGUGAUUGGCAGCCCUGAGCCCAUUAGUAGGGCUUAUUGACUGUCAGGGUCACUGUAACGGGUUCUGGCUGGGCCAGCUCCUGGGGGACCCUGAGUUUCAGAAUCCUUAGGUUGAGAUUUGCCAGUGAAGCCUCUUUCAAGGUCUUGCCUGAAGCAUAGAAACCUGGCUACUGGCAUUUUGAGAGUCCAGGAAGACCGCUAGGGCUGAGAGGAGAGUGUCAAUAUUCAGUAUAAGUUUGACUGAAUCUGCUGUUUUCAGUAUUAAAACCUUCAGCCAUGCCUAGUGUUCCCUGGGCCAGAGACCCACUGCCUUACUGUCUCUAGCAAAUGCACAUCCUCCCGGGCUGUUGGACAGGAGGAGAUGGGAGGGGCAGUGACUGGCUGAGCAGAGGGAAGGUACCCUGAGGGCUACAUGCUUCCUAAACCCACUUUCAGUCAAUCCUCCUAUUUGCAGACCUUUCUCCAUCCUUGCUUCCUGGUUCCCAUAAUGUCUAGAUCUUUGGGGAGUCCUGAAGUCAAAAAUAGGCUGUUUCUCACUUUUUCCCCACUGCAGCUUAGGAAUUAGAUUUUGUGGAUAAAUAUAUAAUCAGUUUGUUGUUUUAAUGAGACUUAACUUUCUUUAACCCAUGACUUAUUUAUGAGCACAUUAGUUUAAAAUAAGUUCCAACCAUCUUUUUGUGUUUUUUGGGCUGAUUUUGGAUUUAAUUGCGUUAUGGUCAACGAUGUGGUCUCUUUAUAGAGUCCCUGAAAUUUUAGGGAAUUUCUUUGUGAUCUACUAUGUGUUCACCUUUUAUAAAUGUUCUCUUAGGUAAUAGACCCUUUGAUGUAGGCAAGACGGAAUUAUUAUCCCCUUCUUAUAAGCAGGUAAUCAGGGCCCAGAGAAUUUUAAAGAGUCGCCCAAUGUUCCUCAGUCAGGUUGGACCAGAACUGAGGAAUGUGAAGGAAGGGGAGCCUAACGGUUAAGCGCAUGGACUCCAUUCCAUUUACCUGGGUUGCAUCCAGGCUCUGCUAGUUACUAGCCAUCUGCCGACCGGGGAUUAUAAUUGUUCUUGCUUCAUAGGGUUCUUGGGAGGUUUACAUACAUGGCACACGGUAAACACUCAAUAAAAGCUAUUACUAUUAUUACUCUUUUUUACUUUUUAUCUAGGGUUCAUGGUGCAUCUUGUACAGAGGAGUCAUUCCAUCAAGGAUCGCAUCUUUAGAAACGUUUACAGCUAUUCCUCAGCACAGCAAUUUAUUUUAUCGUCUGGCCACUGUGCCUCAGAGAUUAUGGCCAGAAGUACCACAAUGUCAGUAGAAAAGCUUCCUGGACGUUAUGCACUGAGGGCAUGCAAGUCCUUUUAUGAGAGCCUACUACGUGUUGGUGCUCCAUUCCUAGCCGAGAGGUAUUUUCUAUCUUCUGGGACUUCUUUAUGCCUUAAUCAAGAGUCUGAAAGAAAAGGAAAUCCUGGGCCCUUCAUUGUAUUUGUUUGUAUCUCGCAGUGAAUGUACAGAGUGGUCUGAAACAGCUGUGCCUCACUAACAUCAGAGUUGCACAAGCAUCAGUGGUUACAUAUUUCCGUUGUAAGGUUACAGCAGAUAUCCUAAGGAGGUAAAUUCUUUUUUUUUUUAACAUCUUUAUUGGGGUAUAAUUGCUUUACAAUGGUGUGUUAGUUUCUGCUUUAUAACAAAGUGAAUCAGUCAUACAUAAACAUAUGUUCCCAUAUGUCUUCCCUCUUGCGUCUCCCUCCCUCCCACCCUCCCUAUCCCACCCCUCCAGGCUGUCACAAAGCACUGAGCUAAGGAGGUAAAUUCUUUGACACAGUAUAAAGCAGAGAGAUGAUGGAAAACAAAAAAGCAAAGUUUCUUUUGGACUUUUCUCUCUCAGAUAUAGCUUCGUAUUAUCACUAAC